GCCGGAGUGGUGAAACUGGUAGACGCACUGGACUCAAAAUCCAGCGAGGGCAACCUCAUGUCGGUUCGAUUCCGACCUCCGGCACCA
rnacentral:tRNA from 1 species